rnacentral:lncRNA from 1 species
AAUUGAUAGAACAAGACUGUGUUAUCGACAGAUGCUAAGAAGGCACUGAUUUCCCUUCAAAAUCUAAAAAGCCACAUACUCCAUUGUUGAAGCUUGUUUGUGUUGAAACAAAAACAAUGCAUUUGUCAUUUUCAACUGUCAAAGAUACUCGGUACACUCAAAAGUUAUUAUUUUUGUAGACCAUUUAUUUUAUAAUCAUUUU